rfam:Oryza rufipogon genomic scaffold, chr03
UUAAGAAAUGACACCAGAAUGACGCCAAAGCAUGUCGGAUGCGAUCAUAGUUAAGCGUGCUAGGGCGAGAGUAUUACUAGGAUGGGUGACCUCGUGGGAAGUCCUCGUGUUGCAUCCC